UGUAUGCAGAAAAGGUGGAAGAACACAUUAAAGUUGCGAUUUUUAUCUCAAAAACUUCAUGAGUACAGAGAAGGUGGAAGAAGACACUAAAGCUGCCAUUUUUAACUCCAAAAAGCUUUGAUUUUUAUCUGAUUUUUAUCUCAUAUAGAGAAGGUAGAAGAAGACACUAAAGCUGCCAUUUUUAACUCCAAAAAGGUUCGAUUUUUAUCUCAUUUUUUUCUCAAACAGGUUUGUUUUCUUUGUUUCUCUAUCUAUAGGUUCGU